rnacentral:rRNA from 1 species
AGUGAACGCUGGCGGUAGGCCUAACACAUGCAAGUCGAACGGCAGCACAGUAAGAGCUUGCUCUUACGGGUGGCGAGUGGCGGACGGGUGAGGAAUACAUCGGAAUCUACUUUUUCGUGGGGGAUAACGUAGGGAAACUUACGCUAAUACCGCAUACGACCUACGGGUGAAAGCAGGGGAUCUUCGGACCUUGCGCGAUUGAAUGAGCCGAUGUCGGAUUAGCUAGUUGGCGGGGUAAAGGCCCACCAAGGCGACGAUCGGUAGCUGGUCUGAGAGGAUGAUCAGCCACACUGGGACUGAGAAACGGCCCAGACUCCGACGGGAGGAAGCAGUGGGGAGUAUUGCGCAAUGCGCGAAAGCGUGACGCAGCAAAGCCGCGUGGGGGAAGAAGGCCUUCGGGUUGUAAACCGCUUUCAGGAGGGACGAAGGUUCGGCGGUGAAUAGCCGUCCGGACUGACGGUACCUCCACAAGAAGCCCCGGCUAACUACGGG